AAUGAACGCUGGCGGCGUGCCUAAUACAUGCAAGUCGGAUGUGCCGCCAGGUGCCUUGCUGAUCGGUUGUUAGCGCGUAGCGAAUCUAUCUUUCUGUGGGGACUUACCUUUCGAACUGAGUUGUCUUCCCGCAUGCGACCCUGAGCUCGGAUGUUCUCUGUGACCCCUUGGUUCCGCAAUGCCUGACGCUCUUACUGUCACCUGCGUCUGAUUAGCUAGUUGGUUAGGUAAUGGCUCACCAAGGCGACGAUCAGUAGCCGGCCUGAGAGGGUGAUCGGCCACACUGGAACUGAGACACGGUCCAGACUCCUACGGGAGGCAGCAGUAGGGAAUUUUGCGCAAAGGACGAAAGUCUGACGGAGCAACGCCGCGUGAGUGAUGAAGGUCUUCGGACUGUAAAACCCUGUCAUCAGGGACGAAGGUAGGAGUAAGAAAAGCGGUAUUACUUGACGGUACCUAAACAGAAAGCCACGGCUAACUAUGUG
rnacentral:rRNA from 1 species